GCGCUUCGGCCUUGCUGUGAGUUGGACGUGUGGUUAGCGCCCUCUCUGCACCGGGAGUUUCGUCGCCGACAGAAAGUGUGAGUUUUAGCAGCCGCAGCUCAGCCCGAGGAGAGAAAGAGACAUGAACAGACCCUCUCGCCGGUGAGCUGUGCGUCGCGAGGCAGUGAAGGAGCGAGGCACUUAAGGUUCAACUAAGAGCCCAAUAAACUUUAAACAAACCCAAAGUAGAGGACGAAAAAAGUGAAGAAAAUAGAGAAAAAGAGAAAAAAAAGGACAAAGUGGUGCUUGGAAACUUCAGACGUAGAGACAGACCGAUGAUUUUUCCCCUCAUGAACUACAUCUUGUGACGUGUAAAGAGACAAAAAAAACAAUUAAAGAGGAAGAAGAAAAAAAGUGACCUGCAAAGUGACUCAGUGCGCGGCUCGCAGCUCCUGACGGGCGGCGCCUCCUGCUGCCCCCUGACGGCGUGGUGCUGCUCGGCCCCUCGAGGAAGUGUUCUUAUCUCUGUCCUCGAUGACGAGU